AUAUAGAAUAGAAUAAAUCUAAAAGCAAAGAAAAUGGCUAUUUAGGAGUCUGAGUUGGCCACCACGCUCAUCACCUCUCUCACAGUUUUAGCCUCUCAUAUGCAUCCGUGGCCGUGAAGAUGGAGAAACAUGCCUUCAUCACCACAUUGGAUAUUCCUUUCUGCUUUUUCAUCCUACAUGUUUAGGAUUGUCCCUCCUAAUAAUGUUAUUUACAUUUACGAUAUGCGAAUGAAAGUAUUUAUGUAAUAAAUUUAUAAAAGAGUAAAAUUGAAAUAACUAAUAUUUUGAUAUCUUAAGUUUAAAUCUCAUUAUUCAUCCGUUAAUAUGCAUAUAUAUAUUUCUAAAUUUUAUAAAAUAAAAUGAUAUUUGAUAAUUUUCUAAUUGAAUUGAGCUCAAGUUGAUGGCUGACAUCAACUCAAUCAACCCCUUAAUUUAUAGUAUAGAUUUCACAUAUUUAAUUUUUUACUUUUAUAAUACUAUUAAUACAUUCAAAUUGACAACAUCGAUAAAGUGAUUGACGUAAAUAUAUUUGGCUAAUAUAUAAAUUUUAAUAUUAAUUUAACAUGAUUAUUAUUUGGCUAAUAUAUAAAUUUUAAUAUUAAUUUAGCAUGAUUAUUGAACUUUCUUGUGAUCCUGAUUAAGUAACCAAAUAAGAAUAGAAAAUUCAUUACUCUAUCUACAAAUAAUAUUAUAAAAAUAAAGAGAUCAAAUUAAAAUGAUUAAAUCUAAAAUUUCCAAAACCAUAAUUAGACCUGGUUUUUCUAUUGACUCAAAUUUUGCCGCCUUUUAAUUUAUAGGAUUGUUGAUUCUGGAAGGAAGCCCCUUGAUUUCAACAGAUAAUUGCUUCAAGAGUUGUGUUACAUGUUGUAGUUGAUCAGGCUUUUGUUAUUUUCGUUGCACAAUUAAUGUAAGUAAAAGUGGUCCGUCCUUCAAACAUGAAAGGUCAAACCUUUUAUUCCAUUUUAAACAUCAAAUGGUGGAGAUAGCUAUAGAUUAGCUAGGCCCGGCCUCGCCCCAGAAGUCAAGGAAACCCCUCAAGUAUACCCUGAGCUGUCUCAACUACAAUAUUUUAUUAGUGUUCAAACAAUCUGUUCAAUUGGGGGGGGGGGGAUCCAUAAUCUUUAUCAUAGUUGAAUGAUUCAAGGUGUCUUAGGUAAUCAACUAGACAUUUUACCUACCUAUUCCUCUACUUGCUGCUUCUAGACAACAGAACUAGUUGAUAUUAUUUAUAAAUGCAACAUCUUCAAAUGCUCAAUGCUUCAAUGAAAUUGAGGUUCUCAAUUAUUAAUAACUGACUUAACCAAAACCGUCCAAAUGUUUAAAUGACUUUUUCUCGCCCCCUAUAAAUAAAAUGGCAACUUCUGUAUCUCACAUUCAUGGAAGCAAAAGAAGAAAAUCUAAUUUAAAACAAUCCUGUACUAAAGCACAAGUGGGUAGCAUUUACCUUGAAGGCUUUGAUAUGCUGAGGUAGUGGAAGGAUGAUUCUCUAAAGGGAAGUAAAAAAGAGGAUUGCUCUCAUCAUCUUCUCAAUUACAAUCUCUGUUAGCAAUACAAAAUCUAACAUCUGCUGUUUUCUAGUAACAUGUCUAGAAUAUUUGACAAGUCUUGUUUGCUCUAUACAUACCACAUUUGUAUCAUGUCCAACAGGCAAUGGCAAAUUAUCCCACUUGUUCUCAGAUGUUUCAACCUUACCAAAACUACAGUGUAUGGUCACUAGUAGCACUUGUGAACCAAAAGCUAACCAAAGAAAGACGGAAAGACACCGAAAAUAUUCUUUUCCAUAUCUAGCAUGUGCUUAUGUAGUCUAAUAUAUCUACCAGAAGCCAUAAUCAAAUGUAUAUAACACCUAUGAAACUUUUGAAUUUCGACCUACAACAGUAGCAGUCUAGGCAACUCUCAAACAUUGCAGAGCAUGUUUUAUCAAGGAUCAGUUCACACUUGCAGAAAUAAUCAAAUCACUGUAUCAUUCAAAGAAAGAAAUAAAGAGUGAUGCAAACAAGCAAUAAGCAAGAACCAACAAACCAAAUGAGCAAUAUAUAUCAGGCUAGACUUAAAAAACAUUCAGGAAUGUAAAAUUUUGGCCAGCCACUCAAAUCCAUCAACCAUCAACUAUCUAAAAUAUGCAAUCAAACUAAAACUCUAACCAUUUCUUGUAAUAUUCACAGGUGAUGGGAGAGAUCAUUCCAUCAGGGGUGCAACGACUUAUCUGUGGACAAACUCCACAAGGAAUGGAAGCCAAGGCACCAAGCUUGGGUUCUCCUCCAUAACCUCUCUUACCAGCACAU
rnacentral:lncRNA from 1 species